rnacentral:rRNA from 1 species
UCCCAGACUCCUACGGGAGGCAGCAGUGAGGAAUAUUGGUCAAUGGCCGCAGGGCUGAACCAGCCAAGUCGCGUGAGGGAUGACGGUCCUAUGGAUUGUAAACCUCUUUUGUCAGGGAGCAAAGGGCGCCACGUGUGGCGUUUUGCGAGUACCUGAAGAAAAAGCAUCGGCUAACUCCGUGCCAGCAGCCGCGGUAAUACGGAGGAUGCGAGCGUUAUCCGGAUUUAUUGGGUUUAAAGGGCGUGCAGCCGGGAGGACAAGUCAGAUGUGAAAUCCCGCGGCUCAACCGCGGAACUGCAUUUGAAACUGUUUUUCUUGAGUACCGGAGAGGUCAUCGGAAUUCCUUGUGUAGCGGUGAAAUGCGUAGAUAUAAGGAAGAACACCAGUGGCGAAGGCGGAUGACUGGACGGCAACUGACGGUGAGGCGCGAAAGCGUGGGGAGCAAACAGGAUUAGAUACCCGUGUA